AGAAAACUGCCAAGAGGUAGGAAAGACCUCACCUGAGCUAUUAACUGAAAGGGAUCCAGGGGGGAGAUCCCAAAAAGAAGAAAUGCAAUAGGAACUCAUGAAUAACUGAAGGAAGACUAGAGCUAAAGAAUAAAAGAUUCCAAAGUCAAAACUACCUGCCCUGAAAACUAUCUGAAAUUCAUGAGAAGAAAUAAAUUUCCAGAAAAAUGAGUUGUUUUAGAAAGACUAAAAUAAGGGAAGAAUAUGCUGGAAAUGUCUAGAAGCAAUUCGAGAUCACGUGCAGCUGCAAGUGAUAGCGACUGACCUAGAGUCGAGGAAGGAGCAGGGCACCGAAGCCCAUCAGUGGUGAGGCAGCAGGUGCGGCCCGGCCCAUGCCCCUGCACCUCAGUAAUCCCUGCGGCAGCCACACGGCAGCCUGGUGAGGAUGGAGAGGACAUCUGGGCCCCACCACAGAGGGUGUGGACUUUGGAUUGGGUGACAUCAAGGUUCACAUCCGAGUUUUCUGACUUGAAUGCUUAAAACAAGGUGCUUCUUGAUACUGUGCCUCAG
rnacentral:lncRNA from 1 species